rnacentral:rRNA from 1 species
AUUGAACGCUGGCGGCAGGCCUAACACAUGCAAGUCGAACGAGUGGCGAACGGGUGAGUAAUGUCUGGGAAACUGCCUGAUGGAGGGGGUUAACUACUGGAAACGGUAUCUAAUACCGCAUACCAUCAGAUGUGCCCAGAUGGGAUUAGCUUGUUGGUGGGGUAACGGCUCACCAAGACGACGAUCCCUAGCUGGGCUGAGAGGAUGACCAGCCAAGCGGGAACUGAUACACGGUCCAGACUCCUACGGGAGGCAGCAGUGGGGAAUACUGCACAAUGGGCGCAAGCCGGAUGCAGCCAUGCCGCGUGAAUGAAGAAGGCAUUCGGGUUGCAAAGUACUUGCAGCGGGGAGGCGUUACCCGCAGAAGAAGCACCGGCUAACUCCGUGCCAGCAGCCGCGGUAAUUC